rnacentral:lncRNA from 1 species
AGAAAUGAGAACAGCUUCACGAAAUUUAUUCAAAACUCAUUUCAUAGAUGGUUGUUCACCUACGGCAUUUAAUUCCUCCCACCUUUGCAAGACAGCUGUACUCAGGGAAAGGCAGGGUGAGGUUCAAAUCACAGGACAAGAAGAGUGUACUCCAAAAAUAAAAGCAGACUGGCUCAUGCUGUCCAGCAAAUUCCUACAUGAAAGCAGGAGGAUUUCAGAGGUUCUACAAAUCCUGCUUUGCUGUGGGAGGAGAGAAAUCCUAUCUGUUGGGUGGGGACUGGAGAUGGCCAGAAGAUAUACAGGAGGAUCGAGACAAGGAUAUCUACUUACUGGAAACUUUGUAUGAGUUUUCUCUCAGCAGAGCUCAAGGUA